UACGUAGGUGGCAAGCGUUGUCCGGAAUUAUUGGGCGUAAAGCGCGCGCAGGCGGUCCUUUAAGUCUGAUGUGAAAGCCCACGGCUCAACCGUGGAGGGUCAUUGGAAACUGGGGGACUUGAGUGCAGAAGAGGAAAGCGGAAUUCCACGUGUAGCGGUGAAAUGCGUAAAGAUGUGGAGGAACACCAGUGGCGAAGGCAGCUCGCUGGGGGUUUGCAGACGCUGAGACACGAAAGCCAGGGGAGCGAACGGG
rnacentral:rRNA from 1 species